UACGUAGGGGGCAAGCGUUGUCCGGAUUUAUUGGGCGUAAAGAGCGUGUAGGCGGCCAGGUAGGUCUGCUGUGAAAACUCGAGGCUUAACCUCGAGAUGUCGGCGGAAACCAUCUGGCUAGAGUCCGGAAGAGGAGAAUGGAAUUCCCGGUGUAGCGGUGAAAUGCGCAGAUAUCGGGAAGAACACCCGUGGCGAAGGCGGUUCUCUGGGACGGUACUGACGCUGAGACGCGAAAGCGUGGGGAGCGAGCAGG
rnacentral:rRNA from 1 species